rnacentral:rRNA from 1 species
GAGUUUGAUCCUGGCUCAGGACGAACGCUGGCGGCGUGCCUAAUACAUGCAAGUCGAGCGGACUUUUGAGAGCUUGCUCUCAAAAGUUAGCGGCGGACGGGUGAGUAACACGUGGGCAACCUGGCCUUAAGAUUGGGAUAACUUCGGGAAACCGAUGCUAAAACCGAAUAGGAAAAGGAGAAGCAUUUCUCCUUUUGGAAAGGUGGCGAAAGCUAUCACUUAAGGAUGGGCCCGCGGUGCAUUAGCUAGUUGGUGAGGUAACGGCUCACCAAGGCGACGAUGCAUAGCCGACCUGAGAGGGUGAACGGCCACACUGGGACUGAGACACGGCCCAGACUCCUACGGGAGGCAGCAGUAGGGAAUCUUCCGCAAUGGACGGAAGUCUGACGGAGCAACGCCGCGUGAGUGAAGAAGGUUUUCGGAUCGUAAAGCUCUGUUGUUGGGGAAGAAGAAUCGAUAAUCGAAUAGGUUAUCGAAGUGACGGUACCUAACCAGAAAGCCACGGCUAACUACGUGCCAGCAGCCGCGGUAAUACGUAGGUGGCAAGCGUUGUCCGGAAUUAUUGGGCGUAAAGUGCGCGCAGGCGGUUAAUUAAGUCUGAUGUG